CUAUCUCUCUAUGUCUCACGCCGAGGCACCACCACCAUCAACCCACAUCCUCACACCAUCACCAAGCCCUCGCUCUCUGUUCGAACCCCACUGCCGCAAGCUUCUCCAGCCGAACCUCUUGGCCGCCGCUGCUGCUCUCUCCUCUCUUCUCGGUCUCGCUUUCUCUGGCCGAUUCUCGGUCAAGGAGAAACCACAUCUCGCCACCGGCCACCACAUUUCCAGUUCCGGUCGUCUUCUCCAGCCAAAAAUUUCAAGCCGAGUCUCUCUCUCUCGUUUUUCUCAUUUUUCUCUCGGGAAUUAACAGAUGAUGUGAACAAUGAAGCAUCAUUUCAUGAUGACAAAUUCCUUUCAAAGAAUGGGUAACCCAGAGAAUUCUUCUUAUCCAGCAAUGCUAAUGCUGUAGUUGAACACACAAAAAAGGUUUUGGUAAUUUAGGAUGGUGAAGUUGUUCAUCUUAAGGGGAAGGAGGCACUGGUGGAUCACUUUGAGAAGUCAACGUUUCGGUGUGAUACGAAUGAGUUCCUGCUUGUGUGUUUCAGCCCAGCAAGAGAUGGUUCUGGUGGAGGUUUGAUAUCUGGGGUUACAUUGGCUGCCAAGUUUAUCAACCCUGCUAUUCGAGUUUUGGCUGCUGAAUCAAUGGGAGCACCUACUUGCUUGGAUUUUGUACUGUGGAAAAUGAGGUGGUGUUUUUGAAAAGUGUAGAUUGAAACUUAAUUGUUAGGAAAUUGAUUAUUUAUUUAUUUUUUUUUUGCAGAUGAAUUUACUUCCUAUUUUGGCACAUUGAUCAAUCAUGAAUUCUUGAAUUGUAAAAAUAUUUUAAGUCUUUUGAUAUGUUUAAUGUGGAAUUUCAAGAUAUUUUUUUGGUUAUGGUUAUUGACAUUAACAUAUAGAAUUGAAACUAUGAAUGUGUUGAUAUAUUUUUGAAUUAAAUGAUAGUUGAAAA